AGUUUAAUUCACCUCUGGAAUUUUAAAAUUUGUUUAAAAUAUUUAUAUGAGUAAAAGGAAACAACUGCACUGCUGCAAAAAAUAAUAUCUGAAAUUCUAUGUUAGUGAAAACAUCUUCUGAGCUGUCAUUGAGUUUCCUAAGCAGUAUGAAAAUCAUUUUGUAUCUUUCGAAGGGGGUAAUUUUAGCUAUUCCAAACUGUCAUCUAUUUUGCGGGAAUGUUGAAUUCUGCUGUCUUUAUUCUUCAAGGGUAAUUAUCUUGUUUAUUUUAUAAGAUGAGUCCAUACUUACAGAUAUUUGUAGGCAGGUUUAUAUUAAUAUAGUUUUUUUUUUCCCCUAUUGAAAUAAAUAAUGAUACCUAGUAACUAUCUUCUUUAGUAAUUAGCUGAGAAAAUAUGCGAUUGUUGCAGAGUAUCUAAGUGCAGAUGUUUUCCUCUUUAGCUAAAGCUUCAGUACACCAACCCUUUGAAAACAAUCUAUUUUAACAUUUAUUUGAUUAAAAGAGUUCUUAAUGUAUUGCAAACAUUUAAUUUUUUCUGAAAAUUACUUUGCCUUAAAUGCAUACUUCAUUUUAUUGGAUAUUUAAGAAAUAAAGCAAGGAUUUAAGAUGCACCAGAUUAAAGUCCCAUUCCUGGCAGUGCUUAUCUAUGUUUUCAUAAAAUCCCACUGAAACUGAAAGGACUACUAAGUGGUCUCAAACUGAGUACAGGUAAAAAAAAGUUUGCAGGAUCGAGAUUCAGAUUUGUUUCUAGCUGCAGUUUGGCAGAAAAGAAUUGAUAGAUUUUUUUUUUUUCUGGUUUUAUUUCUUUUUAUUCUAAUAAAUACUGUUUAAGCAGAUUCUUGCAAAAACAGAGAAGUAAGCUUAUUUUUAUGCCGUAAUAGUUAAGAAUUGCAUAUUCAAAAACCAUAGUGCUGCAGCAGUACCCUAAAGUAUAAUAUAAUUUUACAGAAGGGAGUCUCUCCAUAAAAGGAACCCUAAAAUAAUGGAAGUUUCAUACCACAAAUUUAUCUUUGUAUGGAGGCAUAAUAAUAAUAAUCAGGAUAAUUUUGCUAGAAUUGCAUGGCAGCACUGAUGAAUUUUGAAACUCUUAAUGAGAAUUGCAAGAAUUUCAGUCUGGUUUUGAUAUAGAUCUUUCUUACAACCUGUGUUCAUGAAGCUUACAUUUGACAAUUCUUGAAGCUGUUGAUAAAAGUAACAUUAAAAACUGCUGGUAACUUACCUUUCUCUGCAUCUACCCUCAGCUUGGAAGGACAAUUUGAAAUAUAGCUUCCAUUACUGUGCACUUGUUAAUGCUACUCUGCAGGUGUGACACUUAAACUCUGCACAGAGCUGCACAUGCCUUUGUCUCAGGCACAAUUGCAAAGGUACAAAGGUACAGGAACAUAAAGUACCUUUUUUUUUUUACAGUUUUAAAUUAAUACUCUAUACAGCUGUAUACUACAUAUAUACUUUCUUAAAUCUGUGUGUAUAUGUAUUUGUUUAUCUAGUAUGUAGUAUAUUAAUAUAUAUGUCUUCAAAUAAGAACUGCAGAGCACCUCCCAAAUUAAACCAGAAUGUUCUCAUGUACUAACUUGGCUAUUAUUAAAUCAUUUGACAGACUUCAAAAAUAAAAUGCAAAAAAUAACCUGUUAAUAAAAUACAUAGUGUGCUGAGCUAAAGUAGCUGUUGAAUCACCUGCCUAUAAAAUUAACGUUAACCUGUUUGUGUAAGUAUUUGAAUGUGUGAUGAAUGAAUCUAUGUUCUGUGAUUGGGUUUCUGUGUCAGCUAGCUAAAUUUACAGAUUUGCAUAAAUAAUAAGAGCUUAAUUUAAAUAGUUAAUUAUGAUAAUAAUUAAAACAUAAGGAAUCAAAAAAUUACAAUGACUAUUCUUUUCAGAAUCCUUGAAGUUCCUGUCUUAUCUUGGCUUGUGGCUCUACUUUAUAUCUUUUUCAAAAUUUUUAAUAUAAUUAGGUUUUUAUCUUUCCUUUCAGUUGUUUGAAAAAAAAUAAUAAUUAACUGGUAGUGCUGUGACCUAAGUCUGAUUCAAAAUUUUACCUAAACAAUCCUACGAAAUUAUUGCAAUUCUGAGAAGAAGCAGCUUCUCAGUGAGAAGGAGGAGGCGAGAACAGCUAGAAUUGGGAGAACUGAUGCUAUGACACAGAGCUAGGCUCAUCAGAUUGAUGGCUUCAGCGACGUUGUCUGCUGUGAAAUUUUCUUAAUGGCAUCCUAAAUUGUGACCUUUUUUUUUUUUACACAUAAGAUGGGAGGAAGCAGUUGAAGAAGAAAUAAAAGUCUAAAGUUGAGGAUGGGUUUAGGUAUAAGAAAAGCCUAUGCAGGCAUCUAAAACAUCAGGAGUAGUACUGAGAAGGGGAAUUUACUUUCAACACUUUGGUGCUUUGGGGAAGAGAGUUACAUCGUCCGUGUCUUGUGACAAGCAAGAUCGUGGCUUUGUGCUAAAAUUGUGGAGGGCAGAGUAGAGAAAGGAGGUGGAAUCAGGUGUUUUGAGAAAGUAAAAGUGGAACUGCUGGUAGUCUGAGCUCAAGCUUAAGCAACUUUGAAAAGCAUGGAACAUAAACUGUUCUAUAUAAAUGUUCCUUUCUGUGUUAUAAAUUGACAUAAGUAAAUGUACUCUUUGAGUAGAUAAAAUAAUCCAAAUAACCUGUAUAAUGAUCCUGAUAGUUUCUUAACUUUUUUCAUCAAUUAUUGAGUAAUUAGUUUUGUAGUUCAUGUCCAUUGUUUUUCUCAAUGCUUGGUGUCAGUUUUGCUUUAGUUUCAUAAUUGUACAUAAAUGUAUAAAUAAAUGUAUAAAUAUCUUCCUUUGUGGUGUUUUUUUUUUCUUCUUCCUUUAUUUUAAUCAGUCACUAUGUACAUGAUAGGUAGAACUGCAGAGAAGAAGUGGGCGAAUACUGACCACAAAACGUAGUGAAUGGACUGGAGAAUGAGGAGACAUGAUGUAUGGCUUACUGCUGAGGAAGCCUUUAACUCAGUUUAAGCUUAAGUAGCAGGAAAGCAAAAGAUUAUAGUAGAACUCCGAAUAUGUGCAGCAGUGGCAGCUGUAUAUAACUGGCAAAUGUUUCUUAUUAUGAACCACCAAGGAUGUCGGAACUUAUUUGUUCGGGUACCUUUGGGAAAGCAUGCAAAGGCAUUGUAGUGCCAACGUAAGAAUUACUUCAAAGGGUUGGUGUAUGUUUCCAAAAUGGCUUUCAAUGUCUGAUUUUUUUUCAAGCUAUUUGCCAUUGUAAAGGGUUUAAUUUAACUUUGCACAGUAAAGAGUUGUAGAAGGAUUGGGAAUGUUUGCUUAGCCUUAUACUAUAAAACAAAGCAUUUGUCAUAAUCAGUAUUUCCUAUUUGUUGAGUAUUCUGCUGUCCCACUAACACGAGAUUCUGGAGUUUUACUAGUUGCAUGUUCUGUAUGUGGGAAAUUAUAUGCAUAUGUAGUAAAUAAAGCAGUUAAACUUA